GACGAACGCUGGCGGCGUGCUUAACACAUGCAAGUCGAACGGUAAGGCCCUUCGGGGUACACGAGUGGCGAACGGGUGAGUAACACGUGGGUGAUCUGCCCUGCACUUCGGGAUAAGCCUGGGAAACUGGGUCUAAUACCGGAUAGGACCACUGCCUGCAUGGGUGGUGGUGGAAAGCUUUUGCGGUGUGGGAGGGGCCCGCGGCCUAUCAGCUUGUUGGUGGGGUGGUGGCCUACCAAGGCGACGACGGGUAGCCGGCCUGAGAGGGUGACCCGCAACACUGGGACUGGGAUCCGGCCCAGACUCCUACGGGAGGCAGCAGUGGGGAAUAUUGCACACUGGGCGCAAGCCUGAUGCAGCGACGCCGCGUGAGGGAUGACGGCCUUCGGGUUGUAAACCUCUUUCAGCACCGACGAAGCGCAAGUGACGGUAGGUGCAGAAGAGGGACCGGCCAACUACGUGCCAGCCGCCGCGGUAA
rnacentral:rRNA from 1 species